GUAGAGGUUCAGUUUUUUGUUUUGAGUAGUGCACAGCACGUAGUGAAUUUUUUUUUAUUUCUUUUCGCGCGGUGACCAAUUUCCAGGCGGGUUCUAAAUUUUUAAGGUUUCUUUUUCUUUCAUUAUUUUUUAUUGGGUAAAAUUUAUAUACAGUAUUUUAGAUGCGGUUACUUAAGUUCCUCUCUUAAGAUUUUUUCAUGUGGCUACUUAAUUUUAAAAAUACACUUCUAUCAUGAUAAAAAAGCCACGUGAUAAAAUCUUAAGAGAGUGAUCUAAAAAAUAGCAUCUAAGAAACAGCAUCUAAGUAUUGUAGGUAAGCCUUACUUAUUUUAUUUUAUUUUAUUGGUGUAAAAAAAACACUAUUACUCCCUCUUUCUCCUCCCAUACACAGACCCACGCCUCUCAACCUCUCCCAAAAAUACUGGAUUAGCAGGAUAUUGAUUUUGGGAUUAGAGAGGGUGUUGAUUUUAGGACAUAGCUUUUGGGAUUGGAGAAGAUAUGGGAUUGGUGGCAAAAAGAUAGCUUUUGUGAGGCUACUUGAACUCAAAUAAUUUUCUAUAAAGUUUGGAAGCUAAGACAUCAUUUGUAUAUAAAUGGUUGUAAUUACUUUGUGAACAUCU